GACGAACGCUGGCGGCGUGCUUAACACAUGCAAGUCGAACGGAAAGGCCCUGCUUUUGUUGGGUGCUCGAGUGGCGAACGGGUGAGUAACACGUGAGUAACCUGCCCUUGACUUUGUGAUAACUUCAGGAAACUGGGGCUAAUACCGGAUAGGAGCUCCUGCUGCAUGGUGGGGGUUGGAAAGUUUCGGCGGUUGGGGAUGGACUCGCUGCUUAUCCGCUUGUUGGUGGGGUAGUGGCUUACCAAGGCUUUGACGGGUAGCCGGCCUGAGAGGGUGACCGGCCACAUUGGGACUGAGAUACGCCCCAGACUCCUACGGGAGGCAGCAGUGGGGAAUAUUGCACAAUGGGGGGAAGCCUGAGGCAGCAACGCUGCGUGCGGGAUGACGGCCUUCGGGUUGUAAACCGCUUUCGCCUGUGACGAAGCGUGAGUGACGGUAAUGGGUAAAGAAGCACCGGCUAACUACGUG
rnacentral:rRNA from 1 species